AUUGAACGCUGGCGGCAGGCCUAACACAUGCAAGUCGAAUGGUAACAGGAAACAGCUUGCUGUUUCGCUGACGAGUGGCGGACGGGUGAGUAAUGUCUGGGAAACUGCCUGAUGGAGGGGGAUAACUACUGGAAACGGUAGCUAAUACCGCAUAACGUCGCAAGACCAAAGAGGGGGACCUUCGGGCCUCUUGCCAUCAGAUGUGCCCAGAUGGGAUUAGCUAGUAGGUGGGGUAACGGCUCACCUAGGCGACGAUCCCUAGCUGGUCUGAGAGGAUGGCCAGCCACACUGGAACUGAGACACGGUCCAGACUCCUACGGGAGGCAGCAGUGGGGAAUAUUGCACAAUGGGCGCAAGCCUGAUGCAGCCAUGCCGCGUGUAUGAAGAAGGCCUUCGGGUUGUAAAGUACUUUCAGCGGGGAGGAAGGGAGUAAAGUUAAUACCUUUGCUCAUUGACGUUACCCGCAGAAGAAGCACCGGCUAACUCCGUG
rnacentral:rRNA from 1 species